AUGGAUUCUAGGAGAAAUAAAAUUAUUAAGAUUAUCUCGCAAGAACAAGAAGAAGACGAUGAACUAUUUUUCUUUUUGGUUCCCGCUUUAUAUGCUUCCCUUUAUGAGGAAAAGCAUCCAGUUCACACAUCAUCUUUAUCUGGAGCUGCAAAGGUUAAGGAAAUAUUAGAAGGCCACGAGAGUUGGUCUAGGGUUGAGUUUCGGAUGGAACCUGAGAUUUUCAAGUCUAUCGUGGAUUACCUUAGAAGAGAGAAUCUAUUGAAGGGCACAUCGCGUGUUGCUGUCAAGGAGCAGUUGGCAAUGUUCAUGUACAUGAUUUCGCACAAUGCUAGUAAUCAAGAUCUACAAAAAUACUUCCAACACAGCGCAGAAACAAUUCAUAGGAAGAUAAACAGGAUUUUUGACUUAAUUCCAACUCUAGCCCAAAGAUUUAUAAAGAUUCCAAGUUCACUCCAGCCCCACCCGAAGAUUGUUUCGAACAACCGCUAUUGA
rnacentral:rRNA from 1 species